rnacentral:lncRNA from 1 species
AGUCUCCUAAAAUACUUAAUGAAUGCCUUAUAGUUUUCAGUAGAAAAUGCAGAAAUACAGUCUAUUUAAAGACCCUAAUAGUUCACCACUUGAGAAGUUGGAAAUUAACAUACCCAUCAGAUUUCUGUGUUUUAAUUAGAAGACGAUAAAUGAAAUGUUUCUUUGAGGACCAGCACAGUAAUUACUAAUCAAUGAGUAUGAAGAAAUUGUUGAAAGUAUUUAUUUUUGUUGUAUUAAAAUUUAGGCUAAAUUUCUGUAUGAUUAGAUAUUGAAGGUUGUGAAAUGUGAAUGAAAACAUGUAAAGUGAGGCUUCACAAAGAAUCUUUUCUCCAUAUUUCUAAAACUUUUGUCCUAUUUAAAAAUACUUGUUUAAAUUAAUGAAAUGAUCGAUACUGUUUUUCCAAAGACGGAAAAGUCUUUCCUUAAAAUACUGUUUUUUUGUCCACUUGUCUUAAGUGUGUGUUCUGAUGCUCUGAAAUGCAAGAGACAUUAAAUUCUUUGUGAAACAUCACUGUUUGAUAAAGGAUAUACGUAUUUAGCAUCCUUGUUUUUCUUUGUGCUAAAGUGGAUACAGCUGUUGGGGCAGAAGAGACGGGACCAGCUGCUGGCCACAUUUCCUGCUUUAUUUUAAAAGGUAGUAUAAGAAAUAAGGAAACAGAGGUAAUAUCAGGGCUUCUGCUGUCUUUUAUUUUUAAAAUGUUCAUAAUUAAGUAUUUUCCAGCAGUCCAAAGAUGUAAGUUAUCCUACACGUAAGAUGUUUUAUUUUGUUACUUGGUUAUGGAAAUGGAAUCUUGUUCUUGCACAACUGUAAAUGUUUUGUUGCUAGAUAAUAUGAUUUUGAGACCUAAAUUAGUCUCUGGUUUUUCAGUCUAUCACAUUUUGUAAAAAUCUCUACUGCACUUGAGCAUGAAUGGGUAGUAGCCAAACUCACAACUUGGAGUGACGGACCUGCUUCUACAAGGGUAGGAUACAAGCCCCACAAUGCAGCUGCAUGGAUUUCAGUGCCUAUGAAUUAUAUAUAUAUAUAUAUACAUAGAUAUAGAAACCAAAAGUAGUUGGAAAUUUAUUUGAAAUGACUAAUUUGUGCUCUUUCUGAAGUAUGUUAAAUGUAGCUUUUGAAACAGAAGCCUUGAAUUGAAAUUUAAUACUUGAACAUUUUUGUAUAUAUUUCUUUGUAUAUAAUUUUGUGCAGAACCAAUGACAAACAUAUGGUGUCAUAAUAAAAUCAGGUUUGUUGAUCUUUC